CCAUGGGGCUCAGUUGGUAUAGCAUGGCACUUGCAAUGCCAGGGUUGUGGGUUCAAUUCCCACUGG
rnacentral:tRNA from 1 species